rnacentral:rRNA from 1 species
AUUGAACGCUGGCGGCAUGCCUUACACAUGCAAGUCGAACGGCAGCACGGGAGCUUGCUCCUGGUGGCGAGUGGCGAACGGGUGAGUAAUACAUCGGAACGUACCCAGUAGUGGGGGAUAACGCACCGAAAGGUGCGCUAAUACCGCAUACGACCUACGGGUGAAAGCGGGGGACCGUAAGGCCUCGCGCUAUUGGAGCGGCCGAUGUCUGAUUAGCUAGUUGGCGGGGUAAAAGCCCACCAAGGCGACGAUCAGUAGCUGGUCUGAGAGGACGAUCAGCCACACUGGGACUGAGACACGGCCCAGACUCCUACGGGAGGCAGCAGUGGGGAAUUUUGGACAAUGGGGGCAACCCUGAUCCAGCAAUGCCGCGUGUGCGAAGAAGGCCUUCGGGUUGUAAAGCACUUUUGUCAGGGAAGAAAUCUUUCAGGCUAAUACCCUUGGAAGGAUGACGGUACCUGAAGAAUAAGCACCGGCUAACUACGUGCCAGCCGCCGCCGUAA